rnacentral:rRNA from 1 species
UACAGAGGUCUCAAGCGUUGUUCGGAUUCAUUGGGCGUAAAGGGUGCGUAGGCGGCGCGGUAAGUCGGGUGUGAAAUCUCGGGGCUUAACUCCGAAACUGCAUUCGAUACUGCCGUGCUUGAGGACUGGAGAGGAGACUGGAAUUUACGGUGUAGCGGUGAAAUGCGUAGAUAUCGUAAGGAAGACCAGUGGCGAAGGCGGGGUCUCUGGACAGUUCCUGACGCUGAGGCGCGAAAGCCAGGGGGAGCAAACGGG